rnacentral:rRNA from 1 species
UACGAGGGGGCGAGCGUUGUUCGGAAUUAUUGGGCGUAAAGGGUGCGUAGGCGGUUUGAUAAGUCUGAUGUGAAAUCUAUGGGCUCAACCCAUAGCCUGCAUUAGAAACUGUCGGACUAGAGUUCGGAAGAGGCGACUGGAAUUCCUGGUGUAGCGGUGAAAUGCGCAGAUAUCAGGAGGAACACCGGUGGCGAAGGCGGGUCUCUGGGCCGAUACUGACGCUGAGGAGCGAAAGCGUGGGGAGCGAACAGG